rnacentral:rRNA from 1 species
AGUGAACGCUGGCGGUAGGCCUAACACAUGCAAGUCGAACGGCAGCACAGUAAGAGCUUGCUCUUACGGGUGGCGAGUGGCGGACGGGUGCGGAAUACAUCGGAAUCUACUUUUUCGUGGGGGAUAACGUAGGGAAACUUACGCUAAUACCGCAUACGACCUACGGGUGAAAGCAGGGGAUCUUCGGACCUUGCGCGAUUGAAUGAGCCGAUGUCGGAUUAGCUAGUUGGCGGGGUAAAGGCCCACCAAGGCGACGAUCCGUAGCUGGUCUGAGAGGAUGAUCAGCCACACUGGAACUGAGACACGGUCCAGACUCCUACGGGAGGCAGCAGUCGGGAAUAUUGGACAAUGGGCGCAAGCCUGAUCCAGCCAUACCGCGUGGGUGAAGAAGGCCUUCGGGUUGUAAAGCCCUUUUGUUGGGAAAGAAAAGCAGCAGGUUAAUACCCCGCUGUUCUGACGGUACCCAAAGAAUAAGCACCGGCUAACUUCGUG